UCGAGGAUCUUCGGCAAUGAGCGCAAGCUUGACCGAGCGACGCCGCGUGAGCGAUGAAGGCCUCCGGGUUGUAAAGCUCUUUAGGGGGGGAGAAAAGCCCGCAAGGGUGUGAUCUAUCCCCAAAAUAAGCACGGGCUAAGUUCGUGCCAGCAGCCGCGGUAAGACGAACCGUGCGAAUGUUGUUCGGAAUCACUGGGCUUAAAGGGAGCGUAGGCGGGCUAUCAAGUCUGGGGUGAAAUACCACGGCUCAACCGUGGAACUGCCUUAGAUACUGACGGCCUCGAGGGAGAUAGGGGCAUGCGGAACUGUAGGUGGAGCGGUGAAAUGCGUUGAUAUCUACAGGAACUCCGGUGGCGAAAGCGGCGUGCUGGAUCUCUUCUGACGCUGAGGCUCGAAAGCUAGGGGAGCAAACGG
rnacentral:rRNA from 1 species